AUAUUCUCCGCUAGGACCACAAUCGACGGAACACGCCGUAGUCGCGCGUAUUCCAGAGAGCGAACUCCCCCGACAGAUAAACCAGGAACACUAGCCAUAACCCCCCUACACAAACCACUUAUUUUGGUGAAAAGCAUCUACCAGUGAAAGAUCUUAUGAUUAAACUGUAAUGGAAAGAAAUUCCAGUGAUGAUGUUGUGAACGGGACCUCCAUUUCUUUCCCUGACCUGAAGCACGACAUUGACAUUAUAGUGGUGUAUUCCGUGGCUUACUCUCUCAUAUUUCUGUUUGCUUUGUUGGGGAACCUUACUGUUAUUGCAGUCGUGGUCAGACAUCGAUGGAUGCACACCAAGACCAACUUUUUCAUCGUGAACCUCGCCGUGGCAGACCUAUUGGUCGCACUGGUCGUUAUGCCAAUCAAUACAAUGAUUAAUAUAUUCUUAGACUGGCGGUAUGGUGCAGUGCUGUGUAAGUUGACGCCUUUUCUUCAAGGAAUCUCCGUCUGUGCUUCGGUGAAUACUUUGGCAGCCAUAGCGAUUGACAGGUGCCUGGCCAUAUGUUAUCCUUUAAGCUACAAAAUAACAUGGAGAACUUGUCCAAAAUAAAAGUGGUCAAGAUGUUGGUAGUCGUGGUGGUACUCUUUGCUGCGUCUUGGUUUCCACUGUGGGUGAUACAGAUAAAAAUGCGAAUGGAUCCACCGUCGAAAGACGACUUCAUUCUAUUUAAUUACGUCAUCCCAAUCUGCCAAUGGCUGGGCUGUGCGAACAGUAGCAUCAAUCCAAUCGUAUACAGUUUGUUCAGUAAAAAAAUUCGCACGAGGAUAAAAACUAUCUUAAUGUGCAAGAAAGCAGCAUACGAAAUUCCACGUCAACUGAGUUCGUACGCCAGUACUAGAUAUGUGUCGGUAGAUUAUACUAAUGGUCACGUGACACUAAGGACUAACGGAUUACAAAAAGAGCGCAAAGCGUCUCGAACAGACAGAUUAUUCAAUAAUGUUUACGACUGAAUACCGUUAUUGCUGUUUCAUUUUCUGUGAAGUUGUUGAUGCAUAAAAAUAAUUUUUCAUG
rnacentral:misc_RNA from 1 species